rnacentral:rRNA from 1 species
CGGCGGACGGGUGAGUAACGCGUGGGUAACCUGCCCCAUACAGGGGGAUAACAGUUAGAAAUGACUGCUAAUACCGCAUAAGACCACGGUACCGCAUGGUACAGUGGUAAAAACUCCGGUGGUAUGAGAUGGACCCGCGUCUGAUUAGGUAGUUGGUGGGGUAACGGCCUACCAAGCCGACGAUCAGUAGCCGACCUGAGAGGGUGACCGGCCACAUUGGGACUGAGACACGGCCCAG